GAUCAAGCGUUUAAGGGCUUCUGACGGAUGCCUUGGCGUAGAGAGGCGGUGAGGGGGGUGGGAAGGUGGGAUAAGAGGCGGGGGGGCGGUAGCACCCGUUGAUUGGGCUAUUUCCGAAUGGGGAAAAUCAACUUUAUAGUCUUACAUCUU
rnacentral:rRNA from 1 species